AUUGAACGCUGGCGGCAUGGCUAAAACAUGCAAGUCGAGGGAGAAAUCAACUUCGGUUGGUGGAAACCGGCGAAAGGGCGAGUAACGCAAUCGAACGUACCCCAAGGUGGAGAAUAAUUCAGGGAAACCUGUUGUAAUGCUCCAUGUGCUCUACGGAGGAAAGCUUCGGCGCCUCGGGAGCGGCGAUUGUCCUAUCAGGUAGUUGGUGAGGUAAAGGCUCACCAAGCCUUAGACGGGUAGCGGGUGUGAGAGCAUGACCCGCCGCAUCGGGACUGAGACACUGCCCGG
rnacentral:rRNA from 1 species